CUGAGCCCCCAUCCCUGGCGCCCCCAGCAGUGACCUCUUUGGUGGAACAGCUACAAGAUGAGGCCAAACACCUGAGGCAGGAAGUGGAGGGUCUGGAGGGAAAGCUCCAAUCCCAGGUGGAAAACAAUCAGGCCUUGAGUCUCUUGAGCAAGGAACAAAAGCAGAG
rnacentral:sRNA from 1 species